UUUAAUAUUAACAACUUCCAUCAAAACUAUAAUAAUAAUAUUAUAUCUACUGUUGACCUCUAACAACAAUCAGGUGCUGUAUUCAGAGUCAUAAAGAAUACAUAUGUAUGUUUGUAUAUUUAAUAUACACAUAGGAUAAUGUGUUUUUGUCAAAUCUAUGCUAUGUGCAUAUGUAUUAAAAUGUUGGUGGAAUCAGUAGCCGUGGGAUGCAGAAUUGUGAGAUGCAGGCUAAUUUUAUCUUUACGUUAGAGGAAAGUAAUAGUGAAUGGAAGAACCAGAUUCAUCAUUUUAUGGAAAAUAAUAUUGAUUGGUUACAAAAGUGGCUGCCGGAAACCUCUCCAACCUCUCCUGAGGACUCACAACUUCUUUAUAGAUGAGAAUUAUGAAAGAGUCUCUAAAGCUGUCUCAAAAACAGGCUGGUGUUGAAACAUACAUAUCGAAAGGUCUCGAGAAAUUCAAUUAUAUUUUGCUGCCCUGAGGAUUUUCACUCCACUUGUGGAAACAAAUGAUAAUGUUGCUUCAGACCCACCUCUCCACCUCUUGUUCCAAACAGUACUCCAUUUCCAAAUGAGCUGCCAUCAAGCCAAAGUAACAACUUUCUCCCAAAAUGUUUAAAGUGGUGGAAAAUCCCCUCAAAGCUGGAUCAAACUGUGUGUUUAAGAACAGCUCCAAAAGGGACUCUUCUGUUGACAGGGGAUAUUUUUCUUUAGAUGUAAGAAAUAUUCUGAGCCUCGAGCCUAGGAAGGAGGCCAACAGCAGCUCUCCAGCCGGGAUCCCGCCCCUUUCGAAAGCCAUCACCACUACAGGAACCCUGGGGAAGGAAAAAGACACUGGCGCAGAAAAAUUCCUCCGUGAAAGCAGCCAAGGCCUU
rnacentral:sRNA from 1 species